GAGUCAUUGGGACUCUAUUCGAAACCUAAAGGCGCAAUGAAAGUAAAGGUCCGCCUCGCGCGGACCGAGGGAGGAUGGGCCGACCGCCGUGCCGGCCCCGCACUCCCGGGGCGUCUCGUUCUCAUCGCGAGAAGAGGCGCACCCAGAGCGUACACGCUGGGACCCGAAAGAUGGUGAACUAUGCCUGGUCAGGACGAAGUCAGGGGAAACCCUGAUGGAGGUCCGUAGCGAUUCUGACGUGCAAAUCGAUCGUCGGAACUGGGUAUAGGGGCGAAAGACUAAUCGAACCUUCUAGUAGCUGGUUCCCUCCGAAGUUUCCCUCAGGAUAGCUGGCGCUCGCCUUUGCGAGUCUCAUUCGGUAAAGCGAAUGAUUAGAGGCAUUGGGGUCGAAACGGCCUCAACCUAUUCUCAAACUUUAAAUGGGUGAGAUCUCCGGCUUGCUUAAAGCAUGAAGCCGCGAGAGAUCGGAUCACAGAGUGCCAAGUGGGCCACUUUUGGUAAGCAGAACUGGCGCUGUGGGAUGAACCAAACGCAGAGUUAAAGCGCCCAAAUCGACGCUUAUGGGAUACCAUGAAAGGCGUUGGUAA
rnacentral:rRNA from 1 species